rnacentral:sRNA from 1 species
GGUUGGUAGUCGCAGCGCACUGCAAAAUCCGAUUCAGUUUUGGCCAGAAGAAGUGUCUCUGGCUAGAACAAGAAGAGGAGAACUUUGAAAACGGGCGCGAACAAGUGAGCAGCAGCCGAGUGAAGUAGCCAGCCGAGCCAAAGGAGAGUGCAAAUGAAAAAGUGAAAACAAAUUGUUUAAAUUAAAGAUUCAAACCAAAAAGCGAAAUACAGAACGUGAAUCAAUCAGUUGAAAUAAAUUGUGGAACUGGCAUGACGGAUAUCCGACUGAGAUUGCAAAUUUACGAAAAGUUGAAUCGAGAAGGAUAAACUUUCGGUUCGGACCGCUAUGCACAGGACCCGUGCGGGUCCGCCGACCGAGUGCGGCCACAGAUAGAAUACACAGAUACAUUCGCCAGAUACUAGAUACCAGAUACCAGCUAUCCAGAUACAAGCACAUUCACACAAAUAUCUAGUGGAUUUGAACAUGUGCCAAAAGUGCGGGCUGCUUGGAGCUGAUUCUGGUAUAACCGCGACGAGGGCGACGAUGCUGCUUGAUUUUGGCCAAGUUAAAUAAACAAGCCAAUCCACAGCGCACACACCCACACCCACACCG